CGAACCCGCGCGGGAGAGAUCCCGACCGUCCGUCGGGGCGCCGAAGGAGCAAACUCCCAAGAAACUCUCAGGCCCCGUUACCGCUCGGGUGAG
rnacentral:ncRNA from 1 species